ACCGAGGAGGAAGGGAGGAACCGCGUGGAGGAAAUCUAGAACUUCUGGUUCCCCAAGGACCCAGCAGACUGUGUUCUGGCUACAAGGUGAUCACUGCCACCAGGUCAGUGCAGGAUUCCUCCAAUGUAGAUGGGCCGGGAGCCACAACUUGCGCGGAGCAGCAGCCUCGCCGACCGCUCAGAGAGAAGCCGCGCGACAGCCAGGCUUGGCCCGGACGGCGCCCCCACCCUGCGCGCGCGAUCCAAGGUUCUCACCUGGAGCGCUCAGGUAGGGCUGGGGCGGGGCGGGAGGCUGGCGCGCAGGCGCGGAAGCGGGGCCUCGCCCCUGCCGACGUCGCAGGCUGGAGCUCACCUGGGAGACUCCAAGUGGAAGCCGAGCCUCGGUUCUGCCUCUCCAGGCAACGCGGGAGGCCCAGCGGGAAGGCAGGAGGCGGCGGAGGAGGAGGAGCUCUACUGAGCCGCAACUGUGGUGACAGCAAACGGAGUCGCAGCCGCCGCCACCUGCACCUGGCGCCUAGCCCACGUCCAGCGCCUGCCCGGCCGCCGCUUCCCGCCACCCUGCCCUGCCCACCCGCCAGGUACUACCAUUAAAGAUACCUUCUUCUCAGCAAAUCUAUGAUAAAAAAUACAAGUAACAGAAGAAGAAAUAACUGUUAUUUGUCAAGUGACAAGCUUUUAAUGUUAGAAUGGCUCACCUAAAGCGACUAGUAAAAUUACACUUUAAAAGACAUUACCAUAAAAAGUUCUGGAAGCUUGGUGCAGUAAUUUUUUUCUUUAUAAUAGUUUUGGUUUUAAUGCAAAGAGAAGUAAGUGUUCAAUAUUCCAAAGAGGAAUCAAGGAUGGAAAGGAAUAUGAAAAACAAAAACAAGAUGUUGGAUUUAAUGCUAGAAGCUGUAAACAAUAUUAAGGAUGCCAUGCCAAAAAUGCAAAUAGGAGCACCUGUCAGGCAAAACAUUGAUGCUGGUGAGAGACCUUGUUUGCAAGGAUAUUAUACAGCAGCAGAAUUGAAGCCUGUCCUUGACCGUCCACCUCAGGAUUCAAAUGCACCUGGUGCUUCUGGUAAAGCAUUCAAGACAACUAAUUUAAGUGUUGAAGAGCAAAAGGAAAAGGAACGUGGGGAAGCUAAACACUGCUUUAAUGCUUUCGCAAGUGACAGGAUUUCUUUGCACCGAGAUCUUGGACCAGACACUCGACCUCCUGAAUGUAUUGAACAAAAAUUUAAGCGCUGCCCUCCCCUGCCCACCACCAGUGUCAUAAUAGUUUUUCAUAAUGAAGCGUGGUCCACGUUGCUUAGAACUGUCCACAGUGUGCUCUAUUCUUCACCUGCAAUACUGCUGAAGGAAAUCAUUUUGGUAGAUGACGCUAGUGUAGAUGAGUACUUACAUGAUAAACUAGAUGAAUAUGUAAAGCAAUUUUCUAUAGUAAAAAUAGUCAGACAAAGAGAAAGAAAAGGUCUGAUCACUGCUCGGUUGCUAGGAGCAACAGUCGCAACAGCUGAAACGCUCACAUUUUUAGAUGCUCACUGUGAGUGUUUCUAUGGUUGGCUAGAACCUCUGUUGGCCAGAAUAGCUGAGAACUACACGGCUGUCGUAAGUCCAGAUAUUGCAUCCAUAGAUCUGAACACGUUUGAAUUCAACAAACCUUCUCCUUAUGGAAGUAACCAUAACCGUGGAAAUUUUGACUGGAGUCUUUCAUUUGGCUGGGAGUCGCUUCCUGAUCAUGAGAAGCAAAGAAGGAAAGAUGAAACCUACCCAAUUAAAACACCCACUUUUGCAGGAGGACUUUUUUCCAUAUCAAAAGAAUAUUUUGAGUAUAUUGGAAGUUAUGAUGAAGAAAUGGAAAUCUGGGGAGGUGAAAAUAUAGAAAUGUCUUUCAGAGUAUGGCAAUGUGGUGGGCAGUUGGAGAUUAUGCCUUGCUCUGUUGUUGGACAUGUUUUUCGCAGCAAAAGCCCUCAUAGCUUUCCAAAAGGCACUCAGGUGAUUGCUAGAAACCAAGUUCGCCUUGCAGAAGUCUGGAUGGAUGAAUACAAGGAAAUAUUUUAUAGGAGAAAUACAGAUGCAGCAAAAAUUGUUAAACAAAAAGCAUUUGGUGAUCUUUCAAAAAGAUUUGAAAUAAAACACCGCCUUCAGUGUAAAAAUUUUACAUGGUAUCUGAACAACAUUUAUCCAGAGGUGUAUGUGCCAGACCUUAAUCCUGUCAUAUCUGGAUAUAUUAAAAGCGUUGGUCAGCCUCUAUGUCUGGAUGUUGGAGAAAACAAUCAAGGAGGCAAACCAUUAAUUAUGUAUACGUGUCAUGGACUUGGGGGAAACCAGUACUUUGAAUACUCUGCUCAACAUGAAAUUCGGCACAACAUCCAGAAGGAAUUAUGUCUUCAUGCUGCUCAAGGUCUCGUUCAGCUGAAGGGAUGUACCUACAAAGGUCACAAGACAGUUGUCACUGGAGAGCAGAUAUGGGAGAUCCAGAAGGAUCAACUUCUAUACAAUCCAUUCUUUAAAAUGUGCCUUUCAGCAAAUGGAGAGCAUCCAAGUUUAGUGUCAUGCAACCCAUCAGAUCCACUCCAAAAAUGGGAAGAAUCCACAAGCCUCAGAGCCAACCAGAUCAUCACACUGAGGAAGAAAUAGACUAGGGAUUCUUCAUCAUGAUCUUUAAAGAGCAACCAUGCUGACACCAUAAGAGCUCCAAGAUGUUGCCUGCAUCCUUUGACUAAUGGCUCUCUCCUCCAUCUUCAAAGUGCAUCAGUCUUACCUCUGGCUUUAUCAUCACAUCUUUUUCUGAUUUUGAUCCUCUUGCUUCCCUCUCAUAAGGGUCCUUAUGAUAACAUUGUGACCACCUGCAUAACCAAAAUAACCUUCCUUCUCAAGAUCCUUCAUCACAUCUGCAAAGUCCCUUUUGUCGUUGAAGCAAGGGACCCUCUCAAACCCUGUUGCAGCCUGUCACAUGUACUGUGACAGCAUCUAUGCACAUGGAAAGAGAUUCAAAGCAAACUCCUGAAUGGCAAGAUCUCCCUUCUCCCAUCAGCUUACUAAGAACAAAAAAAAUUGAUCACAGUCCAAAAGCCACUAUAUCCUUAGUGUAUUCCAUGGAAAGAACAUCCAGAACUUGGGAGAAGAUAACGUAACAUAUUCCUGGAGCACCAUGUCCAGAUCAAGUACCAUAUUAUAAAGGAGACAUAAAUAGCACUGUAUCCAGAGGAAGGAAACCAGGGCAACAAAGAGCCUAAAAGCCAUGCCCCAGGAGGAUCAGUGGAAAGAACCAAGGAUGUUUAAUCCUGCAGAACAGAAACAUAUAGAGCCCAUAAGCUUUCUUCAAAUAUUUGCAUGUCCAUCACCAUUGCUUUCAAACAGCCAGAAUUCGGAAAAUAGGGAAGAUUUACUCUGUGUACUUACGGGGCAGAAUUCGGGUCACAUGGCAGCAGGUUGCUCAAUGUUAGGAAGAGCUUUCUAACAAUUAAAGCUGCAAAAUGAAAUGAGCUAUUUCAAAAAGCUGUGUGCUCUGGAUCACCAGAAUUGUUCAAUAAGAGGCCAGAAAGCAUAGGAUAUGUUUUUAAUACGAUAAAUUCCUGGUUUUGUGGUAUAAGUUGGACAGUGACCUAGUCUAUAAGGUCUCUGGAAAACUAAAGGAAAAUAUGUAUAUCAUUUGGAUAUUGAGUCACAUCUUAUAAUAUAGUUCUUUAGCUCAUUAGCUGUUAAUUGCAGGUGGCAAACUGGAACCAAUUUAAUUAUACCCUCGAAGAACUAGGAAUGUUUGGUUGUUUUGUUAGCUUAUGAGAAUUUCAACAACCUGAAGUCACAAGAGGACCCUGGAAUACAUAUUACCACACAGUCACCAGGAGGGAUGAUGAUAGUAUCAACAUAUAAGACAUAUGAAAAUUUCCUCUCAAAUUUUUUUCUCCUACCCUCUGAUUUAGACCAACAUCGCUUCUUUCAGUGGUAGCUAAUAAGCCAGACGGAUCUAGUAGCAUGCUAGUAAAUAUUUAACAACUGACACUCUGGAAAAAAAAAUCUAAUUUGUCAUGUUUGCCAAAUCUCAUGGUUUAAAUACACCCAUCAUAGCUGAUUUCAAGCUACCAUUGGGAAGAGAAGUACACAAUCCACUUUAGUGAGCAACUUUAACAAGCUGGCUCCAGCACAUCACUGAAUAUACCCCACAUUUUAAUCAGGAGAAUCAGUGCAAUUGACUUCCCUAAAUUAACAGUCCAAUGGUUGUUGCAGAGAAAGAAACUAAAGAUUUGAUUACAUAUGCUUAGUUGUUCCAUUUAAACUAAAACACCAACAAUAUUUUGAAAGAACAUAUUCUUAAAUGUAUUGCAUUUGCCCAGGGCUGCAGCCCACCCUUUCAGUCUCCAUCAUUUUGUUUAGGUUUAUUUUCUCUGUCAAAAUAGGUUGUGUAUGUGACAGAGCAGGUAUUGAGCACAUCAAAGUUUUCCAUUUGAUGUUAAAGUGGGCCUCCAUUUGGGGAUGCAUUCCGGAAGCUCUGACACUAAGUAUGCUGUGGCAUAAUCUCUACAAUCUAACAGAAAUUCUGUAAGGAUAAGUGGAGUUCAAACAUAUCAUGACCAGCAGGUUCUGACACAUCUAAAAUAAAGAAUCAGAGUAUGGGGAAAUAGUUAAUAACACAUCCAAAAAUGUUGAUGAUUGAUAUAGUUCAACUGUUUCUCGAAAGCUUCUAAUCUCUUCUAUCUAUCAGGGCAUUUAAGGCCCUUAUCUGGAAGAUAAAUCAAAAGACUUUUGAGGAGAUACAAAGGGCAGGGCUGGAGGUGAAGUGGAGAAUUAUAAUAUUGCAUUGGUAAGUCACUAAAUGGGCAAAGCAGUCAUAAAUCUGAGAUUUGGGAUGAAAAAAAAUUUAUGUAGAGUUUUUUUAAAGGUUAAUCAUUAAAGGAAGAGUUACCAUCUGCCAA